UACGUAGGGGCCUAGCGUUGUCCGGAUUUAUUGGGCGUAAAGAGCUCGUAGGCGGUUCGGUAAGUCAGGUGUGAAAUCUCCACGCUCAACGUGGAGGCGCCACCUGAAACUGCCGUGACUCGAGUCCGGUAGGGGAGUGUGGAAUUCCCGGUGUAGCGGUGAAAUGCGCAGAUAUCGGGAGGAACACCAGUGGCGAAGGCGGCGCACUGGACAGCAACUGACACUCAACUGCGAAAGCGUGGGGAGCAAACAGG
rnacentral:rRNA from 1 species